AAUUUAAUAAUUUUGAAAAUGGAUUUUUUUGUUUUGGCAAGAGCAUGACAGCUUUUACUGGGCAAGAAGACAAGAGAUGGAGAGUCCAGCCGGGCCUGCGCUUAAGUGCGCGGUCUUGCUAGGCUUGUAAGUUUCUUUCUUGCUAUUCCAAACGGUGAGAGAUUUCUGUGCUUUUGUUAUAGGACAAUUAAAACCGUUUCAAUACAACACACUGUGGAGUUUUCAUAUCUUUGCAACUUUUUCUUUGGGCAUUCGAGCAAUCGGGGCCCAGAGGUAACAAACACAAACAAUUUUAUUUAUUCAUUAAAUUUUUGUCAAAAACAAGAAUUUUCGUAACUGGAAAUUUUAAAAUAUUAAAAACUUUCAACAACGGAUCUCUUGGUUCUCGCAUCGAUGA
rnacentral:misc_RNA from 1 species